rnacentral:rRNA from 1 species
UACGAAGGGGGCUAGCGUUGCUCGGAAUUACUGGGCGUAAAGCGCACGUAGGCGGCUUUCUAAGUCGGGGGUGAAAUCCUGGAGCUCAACUCCAGAACUGCCUUCGAUACUGGAAAGCUCGAGUCCGGGAGAGGUGAGUGGAACUGCGAGUGUAGAGGUGAAAUUCUUAGAUAUCGGGAGGAACACCAGUGGCGAAGGCGGCGAUCUGGGAAGAUACUGACGCUGAGGUGCGAAAGCGUGGGGAGCAAACAGG